rnacentral:tRNA from 1 species
AAGGAAGGAUCGAAAUCAAUAAGUACUGCUAAUCCUUAUGCCCCGCGGUUGAAUUGCGCGGCUUGCCUU